AGCGGUUCUCCUGAUCGGAUGAAAAAGUGAUUAAUAGAGUUUUAGUUUUUAGAGAGAGAGAGUUUUAAAGACAAGUGUUCAUUUAAGUGAAGUAAAAAAGUGAAAAGUACAGCAAAAAGAUAUAAAUUGAUUUCAACAUAUUGUACCCUGAAAAAGAAGCAAGGAAAAGGUUUUUUGGUUUUAUGAAGAGCAAUUACAAAACAAAGAGUGACAUAAACUAUUAAAGACAGCUCAAAAAACUGUAUCAAUCGGAAAUAUAUAUUUUUUAUAAAUUUAAACUAAACUUUUUGCAGAUUCCAAGGACUACAUUUACUCUAUAUUGUCUGUACUGUCGGCCGUCAUUAAGGGAACCAACAAGCGAAAGAAUUUCUCACUGCUGGACUCGGAAAGUUUUGAACGCACAUGCAGGCGUACGAAUGUUGCAAACUUUACUAGCUGCCUAUGCAUAUGUAUUAUAUAAAUUCUAAGAGUUACGUUAAGUACAAAUGUAUUUAAAACAAAAAUAAUGAUAACGUGUUAGCAUGGUAAAAAAAAAUAAUGUAAGCAGAACAAUUGUUUGGAUGAUAUGUUUAAGUUUAUUUUUAAGAAAAACACAUUGCAUACUUAUUUGUGGCUUUUUUAAAUAUAAAUCACGCUUGUUUUAAACUACGGAUCGGUUUAAAUUGAAUAUGCACCAUAAUAGUAUGGCUUAAAUAUUAUAUUUAAGUCAAAAAUAAAGUACAGUUCUUUUAACGGGGAUUAAAUUUAAUUUAAAUAAAAUUUGUAUUUAUAUUAAAGUUCAUCCCAGUCUGUUUUAAAUAUGAGA